CAAAAAAUAGUUUAUUUAAAAUGAUAAUUUUGGGUAUUAUCGAUAUUUAAUUAUUUUAAAUUUUUUUGA